rnacentral:lncRNA from 1 species
GUGGUGUCUUGUGGGAGUGGCGGUGCGAUCCCUCUCAGACUUGUGAGUCCCUGCUGGAGUCAGAAGUUUUAGGCGAAUCCCAGGCGCGCCAAGGAAAGUGCUACAAAAGCCAUCCAUCUUGCAAGCGUUGGUGCCGAGGCGCAACGCUGAGAACGCAAAUACUAAAGGGCGCUGUUCUUUCCUCGUGGAGCUCACAGUCCGCUGGGGAGACCGUGAGAUGACAGCAGAGAAACUAGCGCGAUCAGUAGUACUCAGCGCAAGGACAGCGAGCAGAGAAGGCAAACCUAGUGCUUGCUAAGGAAGACUUCACAGAGGAGGUAGUGUCAGGGCCGAGACUAGGAGAAGGAUUGUAAGUGACUAGAUUUUACUUUAUCCUUCUCGUUAACCAAAAUUAAUUUACCUCUCACCUUUUCUCCUGUUGUCGUCCCACCCCUAUCGAGGCAGUCACACCUUAAAAAAAAAAGGAGGGGUUAUUCCUGCUUUUGCCGUGCUGUGAUCCAGGGCAGAGGUGAAGUAUGAUUUUUUUUUUUUUUAUCUGUAGCCCUAGAAUAUGACCUCGGUGAUGAGGGUAACGGUGUCUCCUUGGAGCCCUAGUGGUUUAGAUCCAUGAAGAUGCCUGUGUUUGGUGAGAAGGUGUCAAUAGCUCCACCUUCAGCAAAGACCUCUCUGUUCAGCUUUUUCGUUUACUGUUAGUUCCAAAGGGCUAGCAUGCUCUUUGCCCUAAUACAGUGACCCAGCAUAGCAGUCUUCCUCCAGGGCCACCUUUGAAAAUGAUGCCUUAAUUCCUGUAUUUCAGUUAACUGAACCUGUCCAGAAACCUUAGCACCUGACUUCCUCCAGGAGUGAUCCAAUAAGCUUUCAUCAGAAACCCUAAUAAUG